AACACUGUUAACCUGCGGUACCUGCGGAGGGAUCAUUACCGUGCCGUUCGGGGACGGUUCCGGGGGCCGCUCCGGCCCCGGGGACUCGCCCCGACGUAGGUCUUCACCCGUGUCUACUUGACCCAUGUCUGUUGCUUCGGCGGGAAAGACGGUGCUGAGAUCAUCAUCGCUCCUCUCGGGUCCAGGAUUAAUAGAGAAUUGCUGGAUUAUUUUCUGGGGGGACAGUAACCGGCGCCCGCC
rnacentral:misc_RNA from 1 species